AAUAGUAAUUCAACCUAGUACGAGAGGAACGUUGAUUCGCACAAUUGGUCAUCGGCUGGUUGAAAAGCCAGUGGCGCGAAGCUACCGUGCGUUGGAUUAUGACUGAACGCCUCUAAGUCAGAAUCCGGGCUAGACGACGCAUGCUCGUCGCCCGUUUGCCGACCGCAGUAGGGGCCAUUUGGCCCAAGGGCACGUGUCGUUGGCUAACGUCGUGGCGGAAGGGUCACGGUGGCCGCCUUGAAUUACAAUUUCGAUCGAGCGGCGAGCUGAAUCCUUUGCAGACGACUUAAAUACGCGACGGGGUAUUGUAAGGGGUAGAGUGGCUUGCUGCCACGAUCCUCUGAGAUUCAGCCUUUGUCGCUCCGAUUCGU
rnacentral:ncRNA from 1 species